rnacentral:rRNA from 1 species
CCUUGACAUGCUGAGAACUUUCCAGAGAUGGAUUGGUGCCUUCGGGAACUCAGACACAGGUGCUGCAUGGCUGUCGUCAGCUCGUGUCGUGAGAUGUUGGAUUAAGUCCCGUAACGAGCGCAACCCUUGUCCUUAGUUACCAGCACGUUAUGGCGGGCACUCUAAGGAGACUGCCGGUGACAAACCGGAGGAAGGUGGGGAUGACGUCAGGUCAUCAUGGCCCUUACGGCCAGGGCUACACACGUGCUACAAUGGUCGGUACAAAGGGUUGCCAAGCCGCGAGGUGGAGCUAAUCCCAUAAAACCGAUCGUAGUCCGGAUCGCAGUCUGCAACUCGACUGCGUGAAGUCGGAAUCGCUAGUAAUCGUGAAUCAGAACGUCACGGUGAAUACGUUCCCGGGCCUUGUACACACCGCCCGUCACACCAUGGGAGUGGGUUGCUCCAGAAGUAGCUAGUCUAACCCUCGGGAGGACGGUUACCACGGAGUGAUUCAUGACCGGGGUGAAGUCGUAACAAGGUAAGCGUAGUGCU